CCUUCUCACUGGUCUGCUUGCCACCCUGCACACAGAGGGAUCCUUUCAACACUUACUCCAAUCACACUCUGACAGUGAUAGAAAUAAACCUGUCAGUUCCUGCAUGUUCUUCUAGCCCUCGGCCAUGGGCUCAUGGGUUCAGUGAGAGCAACUGAGUUGGGGAAUGGCACAGCCUGCACCCGAGCCCAGAUCUGACUCCACAUUUUGGUCCCCCAAGCAAGAAACGACAAACGCCAGCUUCCAGGCCACUUUUAUUUAAACAGAAGCAGCGGCCCCACAGCCAUGGGGACAUGUCUUCCAGACAGUAGACACAGUGCCUGUGGCUGUAAGAGCCUGACAGGGAAGAUUCAUGCCUUUCUCCUUGGCCCCCAUGACCAAAGAAGAAAAUAAAAAUCACACACCAUACACUGCCACACCCAUCUCCACCCCUCCCUUUCAGUAAUAUCCAAGUAUUCAUCCUUCUGGCCAAAGAAACUGGCUACAAUUCUGAUUCUAAAGAAAACCUUCAUGCAGCCAAGAAACUCAGGGCUCUGGAGGGGAGAGCCUUACUCUGAUACUUUCCACAUGCACUGCCCACUGGCAUCAAGUUUAACUCCAUCCAAAACCAUCACAUGGAUGGCCAGGGACAGGACUGGCUACAAAAAAAAGCCAUGAACUCAGCUCACCAUGCUAAGAAGACUGCCUCUUUCCAGGCAAGAUUUUACUGGAGCAACAUAACCGGAGGGUGUGAUUCCAAAAUACCUUCCUUUCCAAGCCCCGGGUUGUGGAUAAGGUCUGGAUUUUGGUUAUAUGACUAAGGGCGACAGAGGCUGCUGGCAUCUCUGGCCACCGUCCCAGUGGCUUAGGGUUGGAGGCUUCACUGGCAAAACAAUGGCACUGUUUAACUAGCUCGUGUUAACCAUUCAUCUACAGCAAGUAGAAUCAUCAGUUUUGCACUGAGCAAGGAAGCACAUGGGUCUCCUAUGAGAGCUAAUGCCAGAAUUCACAUGCUUUGUAAAAUAUAGGAUGAGGUUUAUUUCUUUCUUCUGCCCCCUCCAGAGGCCAAAUGGGUAGGGUGGUUCCUUUGCCUUCUGAGUGCCUGGAUGCCCCCAGCCCUCACAAGACCCUGCUAAGACACUGGCAGUGUGCCAAGCCUUGGGUGGGAUGGGUGAACACCCUUCAAUGACUCUGAGAGGAUUCUGGCACCUGGAAUGACAAGACAGAUGCUUCCCUGCAAGCCAGGUAUGAGCCUUUCUGGAAAUGAGAUGGGAGCUGACCUUGGGGUUGAAGGAAGGAUCUUGAAUGACAGAUAAUCCCCAAGUGUCCACUGGAUCAUUUUUCCUCUGACUUUCCACACAAAUGAGGCUUUCCGUGGGUUUUGCAACCACAGUGUCUAAGACAAUCAGAAGGGUUCCAGGGAGGUCUUGUCUGUAGCGAUGUGACAGAUGAGGAAACUGCAGCUCAGAGGACAAUGACUUGCCCACGUUGCACAGCUCGCUGACAGUAGAGAGGGGCUGAAACCUAGGUCUCCUGACUCACACGCCACAACCAUGACUGGCUCAGCUCCCUUAAUUCCAGCUUCCCUUACAUGACGCAAUUCCUUCUCAGAUUCGGGUUUUCAGCUGAGGCUGGGCAGUUCUUAAGAUAGAGUUGCAUAAACAACCAAGCUUUGCGUUAUAACAAGCCAGGGAAGGACCUAGGGAGGUUCCCUUCCCUCUGGAACGGAAAUGGAACUUUCUCUGAGCUUAGGAUUUGUAAGGCACUGAAAUUAACUACAGCUGGGGUGGGGAGUGGUGGAAGAAAGAAAAAGAGGGAUGAGUGGUUGGAGAAAUCAAGUCGAUGCUCUUUUCUUCCAGCCCCACGGUGAGAAUCCUACAGAAACAUGAGGGUGGACUCCACUUUCCCACCUGAUGCUGUCCACUCCCCAGCCCCUGCUGCAGAGCAGCGCGGACCCACUCCCACCAAGACAAAGUGGGUUUUGGGAAAGAUGAGGCAUGAAGGAGGAAGGGGCAGGACGGCACCAAGGAUGGCAGGGAGAACUUUGGCCUCGGACCUGGCUUUGGCACAGCGCAUCUGGGGCCUCCCCACUCCGUGGCUGCCCUCCUGAGAUCCCAGGGUGGGGAAGAGCUGUCCUUCUCCUGUGAGGACCUCGUCUGGCUGAUGGAGGCGAUGGCAGGGCAACUCCAGCGUAUCCCCUUCAUCAUUCCAGCCAUGGCUGUGCACAGGUGACCUAAUGUGGAGCCUUUUCAGGCUCCACUGCAGAUGUGACGCUGAACGGGAAGCAACAAGAGCUACCACUUACCCA
rnacentral:lncRNA from 10 species